GGCGCCAUCGUCUAGCCCGGCCUAGGACACAGGAUUCUCAUUCCUGGAACUGGGGUUCGAAUCCCCAUGGCGCUG
rnacentral:tRNA from 1 species